GAUGAACGCUGGCGGCGUGCCUAAUACAUGCAAGUCGAGCGAAUGGAUUAAGAGCUUGCUCUUAUGAAGUUAGCGGCGGACGGGUGAGUAACACGUGGGUAACCUGCCCAUAAGACUGGGAUAACUCCGGGAAACCGGGGCUAAUACCGGAUAACAUUUUGAACCGCAUGGUUCGAAAUUGAAAGGCGGCUUCGGCUGUCACUUAUGGAUGGACCCGCGUCGCAUUAGCUAGUUGGUGAGGUAACGGCUCACCAAGGCAACGAUGCGUAGCCGACCUGAGAGGGUGAUCAGCCACACUGGGACUGAGACACGGCCAAGACUCCUACGGGAGGCAGCAGUAGGGAGUCUUCCGCAAUGGACGAAAGUCUGACGGAGCAACGCCGCGUGAGUGAUGAAGGCUUUCGGGUCGUAAAACUCUGUUGUUAGGGAAGAACAAGUGCUAGUUGAAUAAGCUGGCACCUUGACGGUACCUAACCAGAAAGCCACGGCUAACUACGUGCCAGCCGCCGCCGUAA
rnacentral:rRNA from 1 species